rnacentral:misc_RNA from 1 species
UUUCCGUAGGUGAACCUGCGGAAGGAUCAUUAUCGAGUUUUGACUGGGCUGUAGCUGGCCUUCCGAGGCAUGUGCACGCCCUGCUCAUCCACUCUACACCUGUGCACUUACUGUGGGUAUCAGAUCGUGAAGCGUGCUCUUUUACCGGAGCUUGUGAAGCGUGUCUGUGCCUGCGUUUAUCACAAACACUAUAAAGUAUCAGAAUGUGUAUUACGAUGUAACGCAUCUAUAUACAACUUUCAGCAACGGAUCUCUUGGCUCUC